rnacentral:rRNA from 1 species
UGCCAGCCGCCGCGGUAAUACGGAGGGUGCAAGCGUUAAUCGGAAUUACUGGGCGUAAAGCGCGCGUAGGCGGAAUGUUAAGUCUCAUGUGAAAGCCCUGGGCUCAACCUGGGAACUGCAUGGGAUACUGGCAUUCUAGAAUACAGUAGAGGGAGGUGGAAUUUCAGGUGUAGCGGUGAAAUGCUUAGAUAUGCCGCAGAACACCGAUUGCGUAGGCAGCCUGCCAGAGCUAUAUCGACGCUGAGGCACGAAAGCGUGGGGAGCGAACAGGAUUAGAUA